CCUACGGGCGGCUGCAGUGGGGAAUAUUGCACAAUGGGCGCAAGCCUGAUGCAGCCAUGCCGCGUGUGUGAAGAAGGCCUUCGGGUUGUAAAGCACUUUUAGCGGGGAGGAAGGCGGUGAGGUUAAUAACCUCAUCGAUUGACGUUACCCGCAGAAGAAGCACCGGCUAACUCCGUGCCAGCAGCCGCGGUAAUACGGAGGGUGCAAGCGUUAAUCGGAAUUACUGGGCGUAAAGCGCACGCAGGCGGUCUGUCAAGUCGGAUGUGAAAUCCCCGGGCUCAACCUGGGAACUGCAUUCGAAACUGGCAGGCUAGAGUCUUGUAGAGGGGGGUAGAAUUCCAGGUGUAGCGGUGAAAUGCGUAGAGAUCUGGAGGAAUACCGGUGGCGAAGGCGGCCCCCUGGACAAAGACUGACGCUCAGGUGCGAAAGCGUGGGGAGCAAACAGGAUUAGAUACCCGAGUAGUC
rnacentral:rRNA from 1 species